rnacentral:lncRNA from 1 species
GUCUUUGAGCUGAAUGGAAAAAUCCUCUCCAGCUCCUAUUAUGCAGCAUCAACUGUUGUGAAAUACAUGCUUCUCUCCAGAGAGUCCAAAGCAAUAUUAAGGUCUGGCAUCCAAAGCAGUUUACUUGUUAAGUGCAUCUCUUGUGGUGGUUAGUCAGAAACUGGUAAUCCAGUUGAGAGAAGAAACUGACAGUGGUGAUCAUACGCCCUCCAGGAAAUUAUGAUACAUUUCUGAAAACACACAGUCUUGCUUUUCUGGCUGUUAAGGUGGUCCUUCUGAUCAGGAUUAACAUUGUACCAAUGUUUUUCAGCUGGUAUCAUUCCCCAGAGAUGCUGUAGAUUUUUUUGUCUCAAACAAAGCCUGAGCAAAACUUUUCCUUCCACACAACAUUUUCCAGUUCAUUAAUAACUUUGUUUUUAUUGGGAUGUACAUGUAAACCUUCAUUCUAUACCCCUGAACCCACAGUCUCAAAGAGUUCCAGCUGACAGCAGUGUGAAUGGAUAUGUGGGAGGUUGGCACUGAGCUGGGAUUGCUGAGCACCUGCACCAAGUUAGUUUUAUAGAAACAGAUGCAAGUUUACAGAACCAGACCAUCCAGUAUUUGGAUGUCAUUCAAACCUCAUCUUGGAUGCUGAAGACAGAAAUGUAAAUUCAGAAACUUUGAAAAAUUAGCAGAUGUAGUUGAAGACACGCUCCUAGAACACAUUAUAUGAGAUGGCAGCAUCAGUGGAACAUCAUGUUCCUGCUUAAAGGACGCAGCUUGGGCUUUUGCUUCUGCCCCUUGAUCUGUCUGAAUUGGGAAGAUUAUAUGGCCCUUUGCUAGGAAGAAUAGCCACGACUGGCUGUAGAGCCUUCCUGUGUGGGCGGGCAAGUUUCCGUGCAGGGAAAAGGGGGAAGGGUGACACCACACGGCUAGAAACAGGAUCGAGGGAAGCGGGGCGGGGCGGGAGGCGCCUCUUUCCACAGUCCCGAUGUAACGUCCGCACGCCCGCACUCAGAUGACAGGUUUUGAAGCAGGAAGUGUCACACACAAACGAAAUGAGCCGAUUGUCCUUUUCCUGUCUGUGUCAGCAAAAAGGAAUGUGUGCCCAUGCCGUGGUCUCCCUUGGAUACAAUCCUUGGGGUAUCAGUUGAACAUGCCAGUGUGAGAACUGAGAUAUGAGUAGCAAUCCUGUCACCGAGACUUCAGGGGGAAAAACAGAAACUCUCCAACAUCUCUGCACUGUUAUAGAAUCAAGGCAGUACUUUAUUUUGGCCAGGAUGUGCAAUAGAAAUUAUUUUAUCCCACAUGCCUAUGUUGUGCAGUGAAAAUCAUUCCAUCACAAAUGGUUUUUCACCACACAUUUCACAUAUUUA